rnacentral:rRNA from 1 species
UGGGUGUAAAGGGAGCGCAGGCGGGAAGGCAAGUUGGAAGUGAAACCCAUGGGCUCAACCCAUGAACUGCUUUCAAAACUGUUUUUCUUGAGUAGUGCAGAGGUAGGCGGAAUUCCCGGUGUAGCGGUGGAAUGCGUAGAUAUCGGGAGGAACACCAGUGGCGAAGGCGGCCUGCUGGGCACCAACUGACGCUGAGGCUCGAAAGUGUGGGUAGCAAACAGGAUUAGAUACCCUGGUAGUCCACGCCGUAAACGAUGAGUGCUAGGUGUUAGGCCCUUUCCGGGGCUUAGUGCCGCAGCUAACGCAUUAAGCACUCCGCCUGGGGAGUACGACCGCAAGGUUGAAACUCAAAGGAAUUGACGGGGGCCCGCACAAGCGGUGGAGCAUGUGGUUUAAUUCGAAGCAACGCGAAGAACCUUACCAGGUCUUGACAUCCCAGUGACCGCUCUAGAGAUAGAGUUUUUCUUCGGAACACUGGUGACAGGUGGUGCAUGGUUGUCGUCAGCUCGUGUCGUGAGAUGUUGGGUUAAGUCCCGCAACGAGCGCAACCCUUAUUGUUAGUUGCCAUCAUUCAGUUGGGCACUCUAGCGAGACUGCCGGUAAUAAACCGGAGGAAGGUGGGGAUGACGUCAAAUCAUCAUGCCCCUUAUGACCUGGGCUACACACGUGCUACAAUGGUUGGUACAACGAGUCGCAAGUCGGUGACGGCAAGCAAAUCUCUUAAAGCCAAUCUCAGUUCGGAUUGUAGGCUGCAACUCGCCUACAUGAAGUCGGAAUCGCUAGUAAUCGCGAAUCAGCA